CUGCUCUGAAUCCCGCCCUGCAACUUGCUCGGGCUCCACGGGGAGCGGCCGCUGUUUCUCGGCCGGGAGGGGCCCCCCAGCCACUUCCAGGAGCUCUGUGGGGAGCAGCUGCCUCUGGCCGACCGGGAGGUGGUCAGGAGCCAGCCCUGCAGCUUCCAGCAGCUCCACAGGGAGCAGCAGCCCCCAGCCUACAACCCACCAGCCACUCCGGGCACGUCAGCCUCCAGUGCUCCACCUGACAGUGCCGCCUGUGCAACAGCAUCAACGGCCUCAGCAGGGAGCGCACUUAAGGAAGAGGAAUCUCCACCGCUGGAUCUUGGCCUAGCUGUGGAGAAAAUGAUUCGGGAGAUCAGGAGAUCCCUGUCUGAGAAGUCUCCCUCUGCUCAGGGGAAUAUUCAUGUUGCCUCCGAGUCCUCAGGAGGGGAACCCGUGAACGAGGCUGCAGCAGAGGAAGCUUCAUCUGGCACCGAGAACUGCGGUGACAGUUCCCCAGAGCCUGAGGAGCCUGAUGCCUGAGAGACGUCUCCUGGAGGGCUGCCCUGCACGGCAGGAAGAGACAGAGGGAGGGCCUGUGACCAUCAGGCAGGCACAAUCCCUCUGUUUUACAUCUAUAGCUUUCU